rnacentral:rRNA from 1 species
AUAGCGUAUAUUAAAGUUGCUGCAGUUAAAAAGCUCGUAGUUGAAUUUCGGGACUAAUAUGUCGGUCGUGCCUCGGUACGUACUGGUUUAUUGGUUUCUCCUUUCUGAAGAACCAUGAUGUCAUUUAUUUGGUGUCGUGGGGAAUCAGGACUGUUACUUUGAAAAAAUUAGAGUGUUUAAAGCAGGCUCACGCUUGAAUACAUUAGCAUGGAAUAAUGAAAUAGGACGUUUGAUUCUAUUUUGUUGGUUUCUAGGAUCGACGUAAUGAUUAAUAGGGAUAGUUGGGGGCAUUAGUAUUUAAUUGUCAGAGGUGAAAUUCUUGGAUUUAUUAAAGACUAACUUCUG